AGUGAACGCUGGCGGUAGGCCUAACACAUGCAAGUCGAACGGCAGCACAGUAAGAGCUUGCUCUUACGGGUGGCGAGUGGCGGACGGGUGAGGAAUACAUCGGAAUCUACUUUUUCGUGGGGGCUAACGUAGGGAAACUUACGCUAAUACCGCAUACGACCUACGGGUGAAAGCAGGGGAUCUUCGGACCUUGCGCUAUUGAAUGAGCCGAUGUCGGAUUAGCUAGUUGGCGGGGUAAAGGCCCACCAAGGCGACGAUCCGUAGCUGGUCUGAGAGGAUGAUCAGCCACACUGGAACUGAGACACGGUCCAGACUCCUACGGGAGGAAGCAGUGGGGAAUAUUGGACAAUGGGCGCAAGCCUGAUCCAGCCAUACCGCGUGGGUGAAGAAGGCCUUCGGGUUGUAAAGCCCUUUUGUUGGGAAAGAAAAGCAGCAGGUUAAUACCCCGCUGUUCUGACGGUACCCAAAGAAUAAGCACCGGCUAACUUCGUG
rnacentral:rRNA from 1 species